AGGGUGAGGGGCGCCACCGAGGAAGCGCCCAUUGGGCUCCCGGGGCUGCCAGGCCCCGAAUUGAGGAAGUUGACUGCCAGAUCACACUCUCUUGGCCCACGCAGAUAGAUUCCAUUCAUCCUUUCUAAUGUCUACACCAUAUUUUGGAUAACAUGCCAUCAUCUCACAUUGUGUUGAAAGAAGAAACCAGAAUGCUGGGGUUGAUGUAUGCCAUAUGGAUGAAUUUAAACAGUUUUGGCUGUGCAAUAAUUGGUUUACUUCUAAUUGCAUGUGAAAUUAUACUCUUUUUAACGAAAGAUGAAAAUAUUCAGUGGCCACAUGUACCCAGUAACAGAGGGAGCAAAGCAAAUCUUGUCCUCAAAGAACUGCAGCUGCUUGUUAGAUCUACCUGGUGGUUCCAUAGAGAAACUCCUCAGAGAACCUGCCUUUACCUCGCCUAAAAUAGAACUAUCCCGGAGCUCAGAAAAGGAGUCCACUCAUCCUCUAUAACUGCUAUACAAUAUCUUUGUUAAAAUGCCGAGAAGAUUUAUCCUAAAAGAAGGCACCAAAGCAAUGGGGUUCAUCAACUCAGGAUCCAGUAGUGUAAUACAGAAGCCUGUUACAAGAUAUAAGGCACUUCACCCUCGGAAAUCUCACUGUCAGAAUCCUUGGAAAUCACACCACGCACAACUUCUAUUUCUUCCUAAUUUGCAAAGAACCAGUGUGACUCCAGUCAAGAACAAAAGAUUAAUUGUGAAUUAGCAAAGAACUCUAAUUUUUUCAAGAGGCCACAUGGAAAACGCAUUCUAAUGAAGUCCUUUCCAUUGCUCUUUUUUCUUAGUUCUUCAAUAAAGCAUGAGAUUUGAUCACAAA
rnacentral:lncRNA from 1 species